UGAUAACAAGCUCAAUUUUGGAGCAGCGAUGGAAAAUCUCCCAGAGGUGAUUGCUGCUAGGAGUGAAGUGAAAGUAUAAAGUGCCCUUGUGAAAGACAGGGAUCUCUUGGAAAGAGUCCAGCAGAGGGCCACAAGGAUGGUGAGGGGCCUGGAGCAUCUCCCCUAUGAAGAAAGGCUGAGUGAACUGGGUCCGUUCAGCCUUGAGAAAAGGAGACUGAGAGGGGACCUGAUCCAGGUCUAUAAAUAUCUAAGGUGUGGGGGGCAGAAUGGCGAGGCCGGACUGUUUUCAGUGGUGAGUGGAGACAGGACAAGGGGAAACGGCCGGAAACUGCAGCAUAGGAAGUUCUGCACCAAUGUGCGAAGGAACUGCUGUACAGUGAGGUGACGGAGCACUGGAACAGGCUGCCCAGGGAGGUGGUGGAGUCUCCUGGUCUGGAGAUGUUCAAGACCUGCCUGGAUGCCGACCUGUGUGACCUACUGUAGGGAACCUGCUUUGGCAGGGGGUUGGACUUGAUGAUCUCUGGAGGUCCCUUCCAACCCCUACGAUUCUGUGAUUCUGUGAAAACGAAGCCUGAUUUUCCAAUUAGCAGCAAUUGAUGUAUUGAUAUCUAUUUUUUCCUUCUUCCUUUACAGCUGUUUAACAUUGGCUCUUCAUGUUUCAUCAAAUAUUUACGAGCAACUCAGGUUAUUCUACUUAGCAAUCCAGUGAUCAGCAACUGCCUUCUGGGACAAGUGGAGUCAAACAUGUCACGCAUAGCAGCAGUACACUGAUAACUUGCCAAUGACAGGAUUCAUGAAAUAUGUAAAGAGCAAAAUGUUUUAGGUCAGGUAUGUGCUGACAUUAAUGAGUUCCUGGUCUCUGAAUUAGAAGAAUGACUAUAGUACUAAUCAAAGCCAGUGAACACCUUCACGUAGGCUGCAAAUUCCUUUUUACCCUGAGUCUCUGCGUGUCUGCAGUAGAUGUCUCUGCUUCUCUUGUUGGUAUUUUGAUUCUUUAGUACAACCAUUGGUGCAAUGCAAGCAAAAGCUCAUUGUUUAAAUGUCAAAUGAAGUUCACAGUUGCUCAUUCAGUAUCUCUGGUAGACUUUUUCAUCCACUGAUACUUCUUCAAUGCUGAAAGAAGGAGUUUGUGGUGCAAGCUGUGUGGCAGCUUAAAUUAUUACAAAUAUGCCUUGUUUGUGAACUCUGGUGAUGGAACUUAUAGCUGCAUAAAAUGUCCAGUACAGAUCUUCUGCAGCCAUAGCUUCCCUUAGCUUCCUGCAACAUUAAAUGAGAUUCUGUUGUUCAGUAGUUACGUUCCCCUCUGUUAGAAACCAGUGCUGCAUGUGAGCCUAUCUGCGAAUGAGAAACAAAGACCCAUUUUUUUGACUUCCAAAAUGUAUCCCAUUGGUUAAGCUGCGAGUUAUAAAACUUAAGUAGAAGGUUAAAAUCUUACUCUGCAACAGAUGGAGCAUAACUGGAAAAAAAAAAAAAAAAAAAAAGGUUU